UACGUAGGGGGCGAGCGUUGUCCGGAAUUAUUGGGCGUAAAGAGCUCGUAGGCGGCUUGUCGCGUCGACUGUGAAAACCCGUGGCUCAACCAUGUGGUCUGCAGUCGAUACGGGCAGGCUAGAAUUCGGUAGGGGAGACUGGAAUUCCUGGUGUAGCGGUGAAAUGCGCAGAUAUCAGGAGGAACACCGGUGGCGAAGGCGGGUCUCUGGGCCGAUAUUGACGCUGAGGAGCGAAAGCGUGGGGAGCGAACAGG
rnacentral:rRNA from 1 species